rnacentral:rRNA from 1 species
UACGAAGGGGGCUAGCGUUGCUCGGAAUCACUGGGCGUAAAGCGCACGUAGGCGGCUUUCUAAGUCAGGGGGUGAAAUCCUGGAGCUCAACUCCAGAACUGCCUUUGAUACUGGAGAGCUUGAGUCCGGAAGAGGUGAGUGGAACUCCGAGUGUAGAGGUGAAAAUUCGUAGAUAUUCGGAAGAACACCAGUGGCGAAGGCGGCUCACUGGUCCGGUACUGACGCUGAUGUGCGAAAAGCGUGGGGGAGCAAACAGGG